GAUGAACGCUGGCGGCGUGCUUAACACAUGCAAGUCGAACGAUGAAGCUCAGCUUGCUGGGUGGAUUAGUGGCGAACGGGUGAGUAACACGUGAGUAACCUGCCCUUAACUCUGGGAUAAGCCUGGGAAACUCGGUCUAAUACCGGAUAGGAGCGCCUACCGCAUGGUGGGUGUUGGAAAGAUUUAUCGGUUUUGGAUGGACUCGCGGCCUAUCAGCUCGUUGGUGGGGUAAUGGCUCACCAAGGCGACGACGGGUAGCCGGCCUGAGAGGGUGACCGGCCACACUGGGACUGAGACACGGCCCAGACUCCUACGGGAGGCAGCAGUGGGGAAUAUUGCACAAUGGGCGAAAGCCUGAUGCAGCGACGCCGCGUGAGGGAUGACGGCCUUCGGGUUGUAAACCUCUUUCAGUAGGGAAGAAGCGAAAGUGACGGUACCUGCAGAAGAAGCACCGGCUAACUACGUG
rnacentral:rRNA from 1 species